UGUUUCGUAAUAUACACAUCUCCUGUAAGAAAAACGUGUUUUUUGAUUACUUGUUAUGAAUUGAAGCUUUGAUUCAGAAGUCACAAUGUCACAUCAUGUGGACCAUGCAAUUCAAACUGAAACAACAUAGGGCCCUCCCUGUAUCUGUGAAUGCAUGGAAAAUUCCUGCUCUACGAAUGAAACAAAUCAGCCUUAUUCUUCCCCACCCUAAAGCGCAGACGUGCGCAAGGAUUUCGGACUAGCGAAGUGUUCCGCUAACGAAGAUUCUAACAAAGAUGUCACCACUAGGGGUCUCCUUGACUUCAGAGUUCAGACUCGAGCCUGGAGAGCAGCCCAAAUUCGACGGCCGCGUGAUUCAGCCCAAACUGAACUCUUUCAGUGCCCGGAGAUGGCGUCAGUGAGCCCAACUAACCUUAUUUCUUAGCAAGCCACUAGUUUUUUCGGGUUGUUUUUUUUUUUUCCUUAUAAUUCUAGUAAACACAGGAAAUAAGCACAGCAAGCCUAGGCACAGCAAGGCUGCAAGUCUACCUAUUUAUGUUAAUAUUUCUUGGGAUAUUUAUUUCAUCACAAGAACAAAACGAAUAAAACCAGGCCUUUAAAUAAUGUUUAUCCGUUGGAUAAGCAUUGCUGCAACACUUAAGUAAAAUGCUGGAGUAAGACUCGUUUUGAAAUGUGACCUAGACACAUGCAAUUAAAAAAUAUAUCAAAGCAUCUGAUUAUGAUAGCUAUCACUAGAACAGCCAUCUUAUGGCUUUUAACAGGUACUCAAGUUUAUGGGUAAUCACAGAAUCAUGGAGUAUCACAAGUGGGAAGGGAUCCUUAAGGAUUAUCCAGUGCAUUUUAGCUGAUGGGAGUGCAGUCUGAAAAGUCAGCAGAAAGCACUCGUCAGUGAUACAAAGUACUUUGAGCAACGUAACACAACACAAAUGGAUGUUUCUCAAAGAAGCUUGGUAUCUAGUUCCUUAAAACAAAAUCUUGGUAUUGCACGAUAAAUAGGUAAAGUCAAAAAUAAGAUGUAGAAUGGAAUUCAAUCCUAAUUUUUCCUGUAACUUAAUGAUGGCCAUGUAAGAAUGAAUAAAAAUUAUACUUUUGUUGUUGGUUUUGUGGGUGGUUUUUUUUUUUUUUGCUUUACCGAGAUAAACAGUAGAUUCUUGUACCACUGAACUGGGACUCGCUUCAAGUGGGUACUUGAAAU
rnacentral:lncRNA from 1 species